UACGGAGGGGGCUAGCGUUGUUCGGAAUUACUGGGCGUAAAGCGCGCGUAGGCGGAUCUGCAAGUCGGGGGUGAAAUCCCGAGGCUCAACCUCGGAACUGCCUUCGAUACUGCGGGUCUCGAGUCCGGGAGAGGUGAGUGGAAUUCCUAGUGUAGAGGUGAAAUUCGUAGAGAUCGGGAGGAACACCCGUGGCGAAAGCGGGCUCCUGGACCCCACCUGACGCUGAGACGCGAAAGCCAGGGGAGCAAACGGG
rnacentral:rRNA from 1 species